rnacentral:rRNA from 1 species
GACGAACCGUGCGAACGUUGUUCGGAAUCACUGGGCUUAAAGGGCGCGUAGGCGGUCCAUCAAGUCGGGGGUGAAAUCUUUCGGCUCAACCGGAAAACUGCCUUCGAUACUGAUGGGCUAGAGGGAGGUAGGGGUUGCGGGAACUACCAGUGGAGCGGUGAAAUGCGUUGAUAUUGGUAGGAACGCCGGUGGCGAAAGCGCGCAACUGGACCUCUUCUGACGCUGAGGCGCGAAAGCUAGGGUAGCGAACGGG